rnacentral:rRNA from 1 species
GCAGCGCGGUAAUACGGAAGGAUGCGAGCGUUAUCCCGGAUUUAUUGGGUUUAAAGGGUGCGUAGGUGGUCUUGUAAGUCAGCGGUGAAAGCUUGUCGCUUAACGAUAAAAUUGCCGUUGAAACUGCGGGACUUGAGUGUAAACGAGGCAGGCGGAAUGCGUGGUGUAGCGGUGAAAUGCAUAGAGAUCACGCAGAACUCCGAUUGCGUAGGCAGCCUGCCAGGCUACAACUGACACUGAGGCACGAAAGUGUGGGUAUCAAACAGGAUUAGAUACCCUGGUAGUCCACACAGUAAACGAUGAUUACUAGGAGUUUGCGAUAAACGGCAAGUUCUACAGCGAAAGCGUUAAGUAAUCCACCUGGGGAGUACGCCGGCAACGGUGAAACUCAAAGGAAUUGACGGGGGCCCGCACAAGCGGAGGAACAUGUGGUUUAAUUCGAUGAUACGCGAGGAACCUUACCCGGGAUUGAAAUGGAGGGGAAUGAGGGUGAAAGCCUUCAGUCAGCAAUGACCCCUUUGUAGGUGCUGCAUGGUUGUCGUCAGCUCGUGCCGUGAGGUGUCGGCUUAAGUGCCAUAACGAGCGCAACCCUGACUGCCAGUUGCUAGCAGGUUAUGCUGAGGACUCUGGCGGGACUGCCGGCGCAAGCUGCGAGGAAGGUUGGGAUGACGUCAAAUCAGCACGGCCCUUACAUCCAGGGCGACACACGUGUUACAAUGGUGGGGACAAAGGGCAGCUACCGGGCGACCGGAUGCGAAUCUCCAAACCCCAUCUCAGUUCGGAUCGGAGUCUGCAACCCGACUCCGUGAAGCCGGAUUCGCUAGUAAUCGCGCAUCAGCCAUGGCGCGGUGAAUACGUUCCCGGGCCUUGUACACACCGCCCGUCAAGCCAUGGGAGCCGGGGGGACCUGAAGUACGUAACCGCGAGGAGCGUCCUAGGGUAAAACUGGUGACUGGGGCU